UUUGGAAACGGUAUGAUUUCCUUUUUGGAGGGCAUGCAUAACACUGCAUAACACCGGAGCCUCGCUGCGGGGAAACUUUGGCGCUGUUCCGAGUUUGUUCUAAUCUGUCAAAAUGACGGACUGCUUUCAGAUUUGUCCGUCAUUGUUAAAAAAAAUCCGUCAUAGAUGGAAAAUAUUCGGUUAACGCCACCUCUGAUUUCACCAUUUGUAAUCAUGGUGAGCUGGAGUUUGUACAGGUUGCACAAACUCCAGCCUGUCAGGACAUCGAGUCCACAGUUUCCCUAACAGGAAAAGGACCGGAGCUAGCUUUCGUUCCUGGGUGCGUUGUGCGAAGUGCAUCCACCUCCCUGCAGCACAUACUCUCCACAGCUGAAGCCUAUCAAACAAAAGUUUAUCAGGAAACCGUAUUACAUCUCUCUCCACCCCUUCACUCUUCUCUCUCUCCCCUCCGGUACACAGCACCGUAAGACGUAGUGUGGAGUUGCAUUAGGUAACGCUGUGGUGGCUGUACUCCUCCAGCCGUCUACUUUGUGUGUGUUUGUGUCUGUGUUGUUUGUAUGGGAGUGGUGGCUGUCACUCCUGGCUCCCGGCUCAACCUCCACUCACCUGAUGCAAUCAGCUGUGCACCCUCCCCGAUUACACACCUGCUUUCCAUCAAGCCAUUUACAAACGGAGGCUCCACAACCUUUCUCCGCCAGAUCGUUGAAAAACCACAGUGUAUCAUUCUCCGACCGCUGUGUUGCCGUCACCAGCCGCCACGUCCUCGCCACUCCAGCCGGAAUCUACUCCCCGCACCUCGUCCACUAAUAAACCCUUUUUGAACACUC